rnacentral:rRNA from 1 species
AACGAACGCUGGCGGCAGGCUUAACACAUGCAAGUCGAACGGGUGUAGCAAUACAUCAGUGGCAGACGGGUGAGUAACACGUGGGAACCUUCCUAGGGGUACGGAACAACUCAGGGAAACUUGAGCUAAUACCGUAUACGUCCGUGAGGAGAAAGAUUUAUCGCCCUUAGACGGGCCCGCGUCGGAUUGGCUAGUUGGUGGGGUAACGGCCUACCAAGGCGACGAUCCGUAGCUGAUCUUAGAGGAUGAUCAGCCACACUGGGACUGAGACACGGCCCAGACUCCUACGGGAGGCAGCAGUGGGGAAUCUUGGACAAUGGGCGCAAGCCUGAUCCAGCCAUGCCGCGUGAGUGAAGAAGGUCUUCGGAUUGUAAAGCUCUUUUGCCAGGGACGAUAAUGACGGUACCUGGAGAAUAAGCCCCGGCAAACUUCGUGCCAGCAGCCGCAGUAA